AUAAAAGAGAAUCUUAAAGUCAAGAGACUUGUGAGAAAUGGAAGGGGUCAUGAUUAGAAGGACCAGAAAUGAUUUUGCUGUUUGGGAGGCCACCUGUGCCACACAGUUCUUCUCUAAGAGCUCUAACAGCCCCUUCUAAGUACUGGGAGAACCCCUACACAAUGACAAGCUGAACACAAGGUGACCAGGAGUAGCUCUUUGCUUAAAGGCACAGGGUCCUCAUCAUCUUGAGAGAAGUGUCAUGGUGUUCUGAGUUCUGUUCAAAACACACUCCUACCUUUGAAAAACUGUCAGUUGCUAUAUAUCUCAUUGCCAUUUCAGCCUGGUCUCUUUUCAAAGAUCCAGAACCUUGGGACACCCCUGAAAAUCUUGACGUACUCUGAUCCUUCCAUAAGGAAUCAGAUCUCUAAAGUAUUGAUACUCAAAGGGAUACCUGGCUGCAACACAUCAUACAACAGGUAAAAAUAAAUACAUGACUCUAGUGUGCGCAUGAAACCAUCACAAAGAAAUAAAUAUCUGAGACCCUACAAUCGCAGAUCAUGUACUAGGAAUACCUGAUGAACUCUAAAAACUGGUGAUUUCCCUAUAAAAACUAUGUGUCACGACUCUGAUCACCUAUACUUUAAAGAUAAACAAAAAAUAUGGAAACACUAAUUUUUUUAAGUACUAAUAACAGUGGUCAGAUUUGCUAAAUAAUUCAAGAUGUCCAAUUUAAAUGUAUCUUUUUUCCUUCCCAUAGUCAUUUUAGGUUUCCAUAUCAAGAAUGGACAGACCACCGGACACUGGAGGCUCUUGCCUGUAUUCCUACUUACUCAAGAGGCUGAGAUCUGAGCCAGCCCAGACUUUAAGACUCUUAUCUCCAAUUAACCACCAAAAAGCCCCAAGUGAAGCUUGUGAGGUCCACUUAAGGCUCAAGUGGACUGAAAAACCGAAGGAACAGCACACAGGCCCUGAGUUCAAGUCCUAGUACUAGCACAAAUUACAAAUAAAAAAAUGGACAGACUAUGGCUAGAUGCACUUUCUUCAAUGACACGAAAAUGUGGUCACACAAGCUCUUUCUUGAAGAGUGACAGAUUUACA